rnacentral:lncRNA from 1 species
GGUAUAGCCUGCUUUCUCCUUACUGCUUUUAUUAAAAUGCAAGUGAUAUAGAUAAACUGAGGAAGCAAUCAUUAACAACAAGAAACUAGCACUUACUGAUUUAGGAAGUUCUUCCUUAACCAUAUUAAAAAGGAUGAUGAAAUUAAGAAAAUCACAAUUUUGAGGAAGUGUAUUCUGAAGAGAAGUAUAAGGGGGUGGCUAACCAAAUUUUGUUAGAGAAAUUAGGUAUGCGAUUCAUGGAUCCAAACAACCAUCUCAGCAAGAGCCAAGUAUAGUGAGAGACAGACAUACAGGGAAUGUCUUCUGGAAUGGUAUGGAUCACCUUGAUAUUCAGGUAUUUUGAGACUGACUCUUUUAUUAGCAGAAAUACUAUCAGUUUAGACAGAAAGGGACAUGGAUCAGAUUAAAUGAAAGAGGGUUAUCAAACUUUUAAAAUUAUAAAAGGGGAAACAGGUCAAUAGGUUUAUCCAGAUGUAAACCUCAGCUAUAAUUAUAAAAAUAAGAAAUAAAAAAUAAAUAAAAGAAAAGUGAGAACAACAGUGAUGCAACUGUUGAUAAGGGUGAAAAUGAUAAGGAAGCUGCCUUUGAGAGUGUGGCAGAGUCUUGAGGCAGAGAAAAUUUGUACUCAGGAGUAUUUGACCACUGAGCCACAUCCCCAGAAUUACUUCUGUAUUUUAUUUAGAAACAGGGUCUCACUGAGUUGCUUAGUGCCUCUCCAUUGCUGCUGCUGUUGUCUCCUGAGCUGGAGAAAAUUAUUUUUAAGUCUUCAGAUCUAAUGGAAUUUGCCUUACUAGAUUCCAAAAUUGCUUAGAGUCAAUGAUUCCUUUAUGCUUUCCAUGUUCUCUCAUUUGGUAUGUGAAUAUGUAACCAAGUUUCUAUCACCACUGAAUUUUAAAAGGAGAUAAGUUAUUUUCUGGAUAUAUAGACUCAUAGGAAUUUUGUGGUAUGAUGAUCGUACCUACAGACUCACUUUUACCUGAUUUAGGUGAUUUUAAUGAUGAAAUUGGAGUCUUUUUGAGAUGACGCUAUGAAGGUUUUAUACUUGAGGUUAAUGCUGCAAUUGAUUGAGACUUUGCGGGACACUGGAGGUAGGUUGAGCGUAUUUGGUACGUGCGACGGAUAUG